UACGUAGGGGGCGAGCGUUGUCCGGAAUCAUUGGGCGUAAAGAGCUCGUAGGCGGCUCAGUAAGUCGGCUGUGAAAGCCCGGGGCUCAACCCCGGAACUGCAGUCGAUACUGCUGUGGCUAGAGUCCGGUAGAGGAGAGUGGAAUUCCCGGUGUAGCGGUGGAAUGCGCAGAUAUCGGGAGGAACACCAGUAGCGAAGGCGGCUCUCUGGGCCGGUACUGACGCUGAGGAGCGAAAGCGUGGGGAGCAAACAGG
rnacentral:rRNA from 1 species